rnacentral:rRNA from 1 species
AUGGGAACGCGAAGAACCUUACCUACUCUUGACAUCCAGAGAACUUUCCAGAGAUGGAUUGGUGCCUUCGGGAACUCUGAGACAGGUGCUGCAUGGCUGUCGUCAGCUCGUGUUGUGAAAUGUUGGGUUAAGUCCCGCAACGAGCGCAACCCGUUAUCCUUUGUUGCCAGCGGUUCGGCCGGGAACUCAAAGGAGACUGCCAGUGAUAAACUGGAGGAAGGUGGGGAUGACGUCAAGUCAUCAUGGCCCUUACGAGUAGGGCUACACACGUGCUACAAUGGCGCAUACAAAGAGAAGCGACCUCGCGAGAGCAAGCGGACCUCAUAAAGUGCGUCGUAGUCCGGAUUGGAGUCUGCAACGUCGACUCCAUGAAGUCGGAAUCGCUAGUAAUCGUAGAUCAGAAUGCUACGGUGAAUACGUUCCCGGGUCUUGUACACACCGAGUCGUGGGA